rnacentral:rRNA from 1 species
UACAGAGGGUGCGAGCGUUGUUCGGAAUUACUGGGCGUAAAGCGCGCGCAGGCGGCUUUUUAAGUCCGCUGGUGAAAUGCCGGGGCUCAACCCCGUGCCCGCCAGGGAUACUGGAGAGCUGGAGACGAGUAGAGGCAAGCGGAAUUCCGGGUGUAGCGGUGGAAUGCGUAGAGAUCCGGAAGAACACCGGAGGCGAAGGCGGCUUGCUGGGCUCGGUCUGACGCUGAGGCGCGAAAGCGUGGGGAGCGAACAGG